GGGCCCGCACAAGCGGUGGAGCAUGUGGUUUAAUUCGAUGCAACGCGAAGAACCUUACCUGCUCUUGACAUCCCAAGAAUCCUCUAGAGAUAGAGGAGUGCCUUAGGGAACUUGGUGACAGGUGUUGCAUGGCUGUCGUCAGCUCGUGUCGUGAGAUGUUGGGUUAAGUCCCGCAACGAGCGCAACCCUUGCCCUUAGUUACCAGCGGUUCGGCCGGGAACUCUAAGGGGACUGCCGGUGAUAAACCGGAGGAAGGUGGGGACGAUGUCAAGUCAUUAUGGCCCUUAUGAGCAGGGCUACACACGUGCUACAAUGGGCAGUACAAUGGGCAGCGAAGUCGCGAGGCUAAGCGAAUCCCAAAAAGCUGUUCUUAGUCCGGAUUGGAGUCUGCAACUCGACUCCAUGAAGUUGGAAUCGCUAGUAAUCG
rnacentral:rRNA from 1 species